rnacentral:rRNA from 1 species
UACAGAGGGUGCGAGCGUUGUCCGGAAUCACUGGGCGUAAAGGGCGCGUAGGUGGCGCUCCAAGUCCAUGGUGAAAGCUCGAUGCUCAACAUCGAGUCGGCCACGGAUACUGGAGGGCUGGAGCACUGUAGGGGCAGAUGGAAUUCCGGGUGUAGCGGUGGAAUGCGUAGAGAUCCGGAAGAACACCGGUGGCGAAGGCG